AGUCUGGCCUGCCCAAUGAUGAUUUGAAUGGCUGCAGUAUCCUGACUGUACAAAGGUAGCGUAAUAAUUUGUCUUAUAAUUGAAGAAUGGAAUGAAUGGCUUGACAAGGGUGUGGCUGUCUCUCACAUAUUUAUUUGAAGUUAAUUUUCAGGUUAAAAAGCUUGGAUAGAAUUAAAGGACGAGAAGACCCUAUUGAGCUUAAAUUAGUGGUAGUGUUAGCAGGAUAUGAGUUUGAAAUUUAUUAUAGAAUUAUAUAGUUUUGGUUGGGGCGACUAAGGAGUAGGUAAAGCUUCCUUUAGUGAUUUAGAAAGUUGUUUAUUGAUCCAGUUGUUCUGAAUUGAAAUCAAGCUACCAUAGGGAUAACAGCGUUAUCUUUUUUGAGAGUUCUUAUCGAUAGAAGGGAUUGCGACCUCGAUGUUGGAUUAAGGUUUAAUAAGGGUUGUAGAAGCUUUUAUGAUUAGUCUGUUCGA
rnacentral:rRNA from 1 species